rnacentral:rRNA from 1 species
CCUACGUGAGGCAGCAGUGGGGAAUAUUGGACAAUGGGCGAAAGCCUGAUCCAGCCAUGCCGCGUGUGUGAAGAAGGCCUUCGGGUUGUAAAGCACUUUCAGUGGGGAAGAAAGCCUUGGGGCUAAUACCCUCGAGGAAGGACAUCACCCACAGAAGAAGCACCGGCUAACUCCGUGCCAGCAGCCGCGGUAAUACGGAGGGUGCGAGCGUUAAUCGGAAUUACUGGGCGUAAAGCGCGCGUAGGCGGUCUGAUAAGCCGGUUGUGAAAGCCCCGGGCUCAACCUGGGAACGGCAUCCGGAACUGUCAGGCUAGAGUGCAGGAGAGGAAGGUAGAAUUCCCGGUGUAGCGGUGAAAUGCGUAGAGAUCGGGAGGAAUCCCAGUGGCGAAGGCGGCCUUCUGGACUGACACUGACGCUGAGGUGCGAAAGCGUGGGUAGCAAACAGGAUUAGAUACCCGAGUAGUC